rnacentral:rRNA from 1 species
UACGAAGGGGGCUAGCGUUGCUCGGAAUCACUGGGCGUAAAGCGCACGUAGGCGGAUUGUUAAGUCGGGGGUGAAAUCCUGGAGCUCAACUCCGGAACUGCCUUUGAUACUGGCAAUCUUGAGGCUGGAAGAGGUUAGUGGAAUUCCCAGUGUAGAGGUGAAAUUCGUAGAUAUUGGGAAGAACACCAGUGGCGAAGGCGGCUAACUGGUCCAGAUCUGACGCUGAGGUGCGAAAGCGUGGGGAGCAAACAGG